GGCCAGACUCCUACGGGAGGCAGCAGUGAGGAAUAUUGGUCAAUGGCCGGAAGGCUGAACCAGCCAAGUCGCGUGAGGGAAUAAGGCCCUAUGGGUCGUAAACCUCUUUUGUCAGGGAGCAAAGGCGUCCACGUGUGGACGAGAGGAGAGUACCUGAAGAAAAAGCAUCGGCUAACUCCGUGCCAGCAGCCGCGGUAAUACGGAGGAUGCGAGCGUUAUCCGGAUUUAUUGGGUUUAAAGGGUGCGUAGGCGGAAUGCCAAGUCAGGGGUAAAUUUGCGGGGCUCACCCUCUUCGAGCCGUUGAAACUGGGUGCCUUGAGUGGGCGAGAAGUACGCGGAAUGCGUGGUGUAGCGGUGAAAUGCAUAGAUAUCACGCAGAACUCCGAUUGCGAAGGCAGCGUACCGGCGCCCAACUGACGCUGAAGCACGAAGGCGUGGGUAUCGAACAGGAUUAGAUACCCCUGUA
rnacentral:rRNA from 1 species